AUGUCAAGAGUCCGUUUGGCAAGUGACACGUGCGACCUCUACUUCUCAUACAUAAAGGUGAAUAUUCUCCUUUACACGUGUUCACUUGACCCCUUCGAGGAUGGUAUACUACUUAACACUCCACUCGUGUGCAUACAUAGGUAUUAUCAGAACGCUACGGACAACGAGGAGGAGUGCAAGCGCCAAGGAACAACUACACCAUCCGCGAGGGAAGCGUGGAAGAGAAGACGGAAGAAACAGAGCUGCUACAUGCUACAGCCACCGGACGACCGGACUACGCCGGACGUCCGACACCUGGAACUCCAGCCAGCCCAACAGUCCAGCCGACGAGAUCUACAACGACCGGACGACCGACCGAGAUCGGACGUCCGAUACCUCCCAGGCUGUUGGGGAUAUAACUACUGA
rnacentral:rRNA from 1 species